AUUACACACGGAGGCUGAGAGACCCUGGAUUUCAAGCCAGUCCCUUAAUGGGAUAAGUCUUUGGGCCUCUGAGGAGGAGGAGGAGUAUAUUUUUCACAGGGGAGGAAUGUGAUUCUAACUAACUUUGGAAGCGAGAACCUCGUGACUUCCACCUGGGCCUCUGGGAACACUGUGCUUGGGAUGCUCCCUCUUGGAACCCAGCGUCCAGGCUGUGAAAACCCAAGCCACCUAAAAGGCCACAGUGGACAGCCCUCACUGAGCUCCCUGCCCACAGGCAGAAUCAGCUACCAGCCAUGUAUAUUUAAGUCAUCUUGGUCAUCAGCCUAGGGAAGUCUUCAGAUGACUGCAGCCCCAGGCCAAGAUCUGUCUACAGCUGCAUGAGAGGCCCCAAGUGAGAACCGCCCAGCUGUGCCCAGUCAACCUACAGAACCAAGAGAGAGAAUAGUAACUCACUCAUUAUAAUUCCAGACCGACUUGCCUCUCUAUGUAUCUGGAUGUCAAGGUAGACGGACUAUCCACAGAUAGAGUUGUCAAGGAGGAUCAAAUAAGCAUGUGUUUGAAGAAAGAGGGAAGAGGGUAGAGAGAAUUGGCCACUUUGCAAGUUAAUUUGCAUGUUGGCCAAUGGACCGAUUUGCACAUAUGGGCUAUUAACAUUUAUAAGAAGAUGGACCUAUAUCUAUCACAACGGCAACCUCACGGAAAUGUUUAUUGAAGCCUAUCACCAAGAUUCUACUCAAAAUCUCCAUUUAAAAAUAUUUGUUGGAUUUCCUUGGGCA
rnacentral:lncRNA from 1 species